GUAGUUAUAGCUGAGUGGUUAAGGUGAUGGACUAGCAAUCCAUCGGGGUUUCCCUGCACAGGUUCAAAUCCUGCCAACUAUG